UAAGGCGAGGCCGAAAGGCGUAGUCGAUGGGAAACAGGUUAAUAUUCCUGUACUUGGUGUUACUGCGAAGGGGGGACGGAGAAGGCUAUGUUAGCCGGGCGACGGUUGUCCCGGUUUAAGCAUGUAGGCUGGUUAUCCAGGCAAAUCCGGAUAAUCAAGGCUGAGGUGUGAUGACGAGGCACUACGGUGCUGAAGUAACAAAUGCCCUGCUUCCAGGAAAAGCCUCUAAGCAUCAGGUAACAUCAAAUCGUACCCCAAACCGACACAGGUGGUCAGGUAGAGAAUACCAAGGCGCUUGAGAGAACUCGG
rnacentral:rRNA from 1 species